CAGUCGAGCGGGGUGAUGUAGCUUGCUACAUUACCUAGCGGCGGACGGGUGAGUAAUGCUUAGGAAUCUGCCUAUUAGUGGGGGACAACAUUUCGAAAGGGAUGCUAAUACCGCAUACGCCCUAAGGGGGAAAGCAGGGGAUCUUCGGACCUUGCGCUAAUAGAUGAGCCUAAGUCGGAUUAGCUAGUUGGUGGGGUAAAGGCCUACCAAGGCGACGAUCUGUAGCGGGUCUGAGAGGAUGAUCCGCCACACUGGGACUGAGACACGGCCCAGACUCCUACGGGAGGCAGCAGUGGGGAAUAUUGGACAAUGGGGGGAACCCUGAUCCAGCCAUGCCGCGUGUGUGAAGAAGGCCUUUUGGUUGUAAAGCACUUUAAGCGAGGAGGAGGCUACCGAGAUUAAUACUCUUGGAUAGUGGACGUUACUCGCAGAAUAAGCACCGGCUAACUCUGUGCCAGCAGCCGCGGUAAUACAGAGGGUGCGAGCGUUAAUCGGAUUUACUGGGCGUAAAGCGUGCGUAGGCGGCUUUUUAAGUCGGAUGUGAAAUCCCCGAGCUUAACUUGGGAAUUGCAUUCGAUACUGGGAAGCUAGAGUAUGGGAGAGGAUGGUAGAAUUCCAGGUGUAGCGGUGAAAUGCGUAGAGAUCUGGAGGAAUACCGAUGGCGAAGGCAGCCAUCUGGCCUAAUACUGACGCUGAGGUACGAAAGCAUGGGGAGCAAACAGGAUUAGAUACCCUGGUAGUCCAUGCCGUAAACGAUGUCUACUAGCCGUUGGGGCCUUUGAGGCUUUAGUGGCGC
rnacentral:rRNA from 1 species